ensembl:lncRNA
CAGGGCCUGAAGCAUUCGGUAAAGCGUUUGUUGAAUGGAUGGAUAUGCUGUACGAUGAGCUCCAUCUAGGAAAUUCUGCGGAAUGUGAUUAAGAGAGAAGAAUAUCUGAGUGACAAGAGUGAUGGAAAACUUACACAAAUGGAUGCCAGAUUUGGGGGAACAAAAUGGAGCCAUGGAGGGUGCCAUUUCUUUAUGGAAGGAAGAGGACUGGUCUUAUAAGAUAACAUAACCAUGUGGUUCAUCCUUCUGAGGAGCAGAGAUCUUUCUGCAUUUGUCAAAGCUUUUGGAGCAAAGAGGAGGGGACAGCAGUCCAGGGUGGUGAUGUGAUGAGGUUAAGGUUGUGUAUCACCAACCAGGGAGCCAAGAUGAUGGCCCAUAGUUGCUGAUUCACCCAACAGGAAGAAGAGCAAAUGGAGUUUACUGGUACAUCAGUACAUGGAAGAAAAAAGAAACAGGAAGACAGCUUCCAGAAGAAAUAUUAUGAUAGGACAUUUAUUAAAUAAACGUUUUUUCCUCUGGUGAUAUGGUGACCUCAGUGAGCACAGCGUCGCGUCUAGAGUCCCACAGGCCUCCCACGCGGUAGGCGCUCAGCAGAUGGUACCUUAGAGGAGACCACUGAACUAUUCGUAAAAUGAAGAGAAAGCAUGUAUGCUCCUCUCCCUGUCUGUGCACGCCCUCUCUGCAGCUGCCUCCCUGCUGGGUCCCCACUGGGUCGCUGUGCACAUCUGAAGAUGUGAGCUGUGUGACCCAAGCCAUUCUCCAAGACUCUUCAGUUUCUUCAGAGCGGUGGAAACCACGCUCCCAACGGUGCCCUCCGGGGAUUCUUUCUCAGUCCUACGGUACACGUUAGAGUGUCAGUGCUGCACACUCAGAAUUCUUUCGCCAUCCUGCUGUGAGAGCUCACUCCUUUCAAGUUACAGAGACAUUAAUCUAUUACUGUCUAGACUUGGCAAAUGUUGGGAAACAGACUUGUAAAUCAACUCGGUAUUCAUGGAGAUUUAAUUGCUUUCUAAUACCACGAACACUCAAUAAACAGCCAAUGAAAAAUUAAAAGGUAUCUUCGCAG